UUGGGGAUUUAGCUCAGUGGUAGAGCGCACGCCUAGCAAGCGCAAGACCCUGGGUUCGGUCCUCAGCUCUGGAAA
rnacentral:tRNA from 1 species